CGCAUCUGUGCAUGCAGCAUAUCAAUAAGCGGAGGAAAAGAAACUAACAAGGAUUCCCCUAGUAACGGCGAGUGAAGCGGGAAGAGCUCAAAUUUGAAAUCUUCAAGGUUUUACCUUGACGAAUUGUAGUUUAAAGAAGUGUUUUCUGCUGAAGUUUUGGUAAAAGUUCUUUGGAAUAGGACAUCAUAGAGGGUGAGAAUCCCGUAUUUGACCAUUACUUUUCAGCUUUGUGAUACACUUUCAAAGAGUCGGAUUGUUUGGGAAUGCAGUCCAAAAUGGGUGGUAAAUUUCAUCUAAAGCUAAAUAUUGGCGAGAGACCGAUAGCGAACAAGUACCGUGAGGGAAAGAUGAAAAGAACUUUGAAAAGAGAGUUAAACAGUACGUGAAAUUGUCAAAAGGGAAGCGUUUGACACCAGUGUUGUUUUUCUGAAAAUCAAUUAAAGAACUGUUUAUGCUAAGCUGUUUAGACUUUAUCAGCUAUCUGUUUAGUUUUGAGCUUUUCUUUAAUGCACUUUUCAGUUAACAAGUCAACAUCAAUUUCUUUUGCUGUAAAAAAGCUUGAGGAAGGUGGCUUGAGAUUCGUCUUAAGUGUUUAUAGCCUCUUGCCUAUGCAGUCGGAGAGAUUGAGGUCCUGCAGCGUAGAUCCUUCGGGGCUAAAUGCAUUUGUGCUAAGUUAUAGCAUUUUAUAGACAACUUGUUGACUAUGAUUUGUCUUGUAGCUUACUCGCUUAUGUUAUUUUACCUACGCUUAGGAUGUUGAUAGUCACAGCGUGUAC
rnacentral:rRNA from 1 species